CCUACAGAGAGACAAUGGAAGGCGAUUCACGAGGGAACGGCAAGAAGAUCAACCGGCCGAAACUCCCCGACGAACUCGUAUUCGACAUCCUCUCCAGACUCCCCGUCCAAUCCAUACUCCGAUACAAAUGCGUCUGCAAGUCAUGGCUAUCCAUGAUCUCCGACCCUCAAUUCAUCAAAACCCACUUCCUUCGAUCCACCCAAUCUCCCGAUUUCCCAAGGCUUCUACUCGCAACCAACGGCUCCUUCCUUUCAUUCGAUUUCGAAAGCCCCGAUCACGAAUUCAAAUCCCUCCAACGCCCGAGGAACUACUCGGAUUCCUGUUUACGGCCCGUGUGCUCUUGCGAUGGUUUAAUACUACUGUGGGCUCAUGACCGCUUGUCCUUCGGAACCUCUUGCAAGUCCUUUGUUCUUUGGAACCCAUCAAUCGCAUGGUACAAGAGAAUAAAAUGCCCUUACGAGCUUCCUUUUCGCGGGAUUUACGGACAUUCUUACGAUUCCACUGCUGAUGAUUAUAGGGUGCUUGUUGCUUCGCAGCAAGGAAAUGAAAUCUCUGUGGUGAUUUACAGUUUCAGAAACGAUUCUUGGAACAUCUUUAACGACAAUCGUUAUGGUAUCCUUUCGUUGGAAAAUCAGGUCGUUGUGAAUGGAGUUGUUCACUUCGUGAUUUAUGAGAGAGAGUUGAGAGAGUUGCGCUCAUGUGCCAUUGUUUAUUUUGAUUUCGUUGAGGGACAGUUCAAGGAGGUGCCGCUGCCAAGCUUUUGGAGCAAAGAUGAUAAUAUGAAUUUGGUGGCAUUGGGGGGAUUCCUUUGCGUGUAUUGCGAUAUCGGUGUAGAGCUGCUCAAGAUAUUUGCAAUGAAAGAGUAUGGGAAGAAAGAAUCAUGGACUAGAUUGUUUGUCAUGCCUUGGGCAAUAGAACAAUGGGUUCCUUUUCCUACCUAUGUGAAGCCUUUGUUUCUUACGAGGAAAGGUCAAGUUGUGAUAUCGGUUGGGCACACGGGGAUAGGCCUUUACGAUCCUAAAGCUCGUACAUUUUUGUGGUGUGACCGUGAUUGUGGUGAGAUGGCGAUUCCAUAUGUGGAGACUCUACUUUCACUUAAUGGUGGGGUGUGAAGUUUGGAGGCAAAACCAUGCAUAUUCAAAGUAAGCAAACGUGAAGAGCCGGUUGUCUUCUCGACAUUGGCAUGAUUUAAUCCCUUAGGGAAGUUUGAGAAUCAAGUUUAUAGUGUCGCAUAUAACUCUACGUGGUGAGAUGCAGAGUUAGCUACAACCAAUUCUUCUUGAAGUUCUACCGUACCUAAGAUACUUUUGUAUAUUGAAGGAAGAUACUUGGGAGUUAUGGUCUAUGUUAUGCCAAGGACCUAGAGCAUAUUGAAGCUUGGUUUUUGCUUUCAA